AAGAAGAUGAAUUCUGGUCGGAUCCGUUCUCGCGCAGAAAACAGAUCCAAAAGGUGAUGCACUAAUCGGAAUUGCUCAUCACAACAAAGUUCAAGUAAACUGCAAAUUUGCAGUAGAGCAAAACCCUGACAUUUCACUAUUUUGAUCACACUAUUGGGAUCACAAAUUUAGUGAAUUUAGUAACUGGAUAUUUAUCACCCCACUUUUCAGCAUAUAGUUUCAUGUUUAUUUUACUUCAGAGAGACCAACACACGAUGGGGAAAAGUAGGGACAGGGAGGAAGGUAGAAAGGCAGCAUAAACAUCUCAUCUUUCACGGCUGGUUAUGGGCCGAGACCAAAAGGCAGUUGUUUCUCAAUUUGACUAAAAAUGGUCUGCCACAACCAAAAACAAACAAAUUGGCCUGCUACAGAGACAUUAGUUAGUAAGCAAACAAUGUCAAUACUAUUAUUAGUCUGCAAUUACAUCAGUCUACAAAUUCACUUAAUAAAUAAUGCUUAUACCGUCAGCCAACCACAAAUGCAAGGAAUUCAAAUAAACAGUGAUAUGAGCUUGAUGAAAAACAGAUUUAUAACAACCAAACUAAUAAAUCAUGGCAGACAAAAAAUAAAACGGUGUUACUGGCUUAUAUAAAAUCAUGCCAAGACAUGUAACACUUCUCAUGUAAGCCACCACAUGAGUCGCUGGUACUAAUAUCAUGCCAACACAUGCCCGAAAGAGAAAUAUGGAAUGGCUAAACUCUCUUCAAAGAUGUCUCAUUAAGGUUUAUAUAACUGCAGCCGAUUUGAGAGAAAUCAAUAUAAAUCAACAGCUAGCAGCUAGCCAUACAUAGUAUUGUGCAGGAAGACAUUUCUUCUAAAAGAACACUGCAAAUAUUUGAUUGCUUGGGGAAUAACUUUAGGAGCACUGGGAUUACAUCCUAGCCAAAUUGAAUACAACUCUAUAUUGAAAAAAAAGCAUGUAUAUGUGGGGUGAUUAAACUUUAAUUGGAUAGGGUUGAUCAUAUUUGUGCCUUUCUGAAGAAAUAGAAACUAAGCCAUCAACACAAUCACGGGAUCAAAUAAUAAAUGACCUAAACCAAGAUUGAUAUGCAGAAAGACACAACCGAGUCGCAUAAUUGACUUGUUUCUAUUAUUAAUUGUUUUUUAUUGCAACACUAAAUAUGUGGUUGUAACUACAUAGUUAUAACCUAACUUACAUGACAAAAAUAGAACACGGAUCUAUGAUUCUCCAAGGAGUAAUUAGUUUCCCUAAAAAAAACAAUAAUUCAUAGUCCAAUAGUAGCUGAACUGAUAGGGAGCCAUUCUUUCCUAGCGAUAUAUGGAUCAAUCAAUAGCCCUGUUCAAGAAUUCAUCCGAUUAACCACUUAACUUGCCAAUUAACCCCUACUCGUAGGGUCACCGAGUAGCCGAUUAACUGAUUAAUCACCCGAGUAAUUGAUUAAAUGGCCGAUUAACUUGCCGAUUAGCCUAUUAAUCCCCUACUCGUCAGCCAACCGAGCAGCUACAAGUUAACGAUUUCCUCAACAAUGAUCAAUAGAGAGAGGGGUGUCAGGGACUCACUGUUUGAGGAUGUAAGCGGGUAAAAGGGGUGACCUUGCCUCAGCAGGGCUCAGUCGCACCCAGAAUAACAUUUUGUCAGUUUUAUUAGUAAUACUAAUAUUUGGUUAAUGGGGCACCAAAGGAAUCUCCUAUAUGAUUUAGUGAUUAAAGAAUAAUAUUAAACAAUGAAUCUCCCAUUGGUUCACAAAGUAUGCAAUUUUUCUCUCAACUGAAAUGACAACCACAUUUUGUCAGCGAUAUUUGGUUAAUGGAGCACCAACAAAUCUCCUAGAGUAUUUCAUUUGGAGGUUAAAGGGAAUAAGAAUAAAGGAUGUAAAAUAACCAGUGACACCUUAGCUCUCACUACACACUUGGCAAACAAAUACAUUAGGUGACUACUGAUUAUCUGUAGCUAAAUCUUAUCUGAAGUACAACCAAGAUGAACAGAAACAUUUCACCUCACUUUUGGUGGAAAAAUACUCUUCUCUGAUUGAUCAUUCAGUUACACAGUGAUCCGCUUAACACAUCGCAGGUUGAUCUGCAAUCACAUAAGCAAGCAUUUGCAUUAGAACAAAAGGAAGAAUGAAAUGUUUGAUCUUUCAUAUGGUACUAUUGAUCCUAGAGCAACGCUAAAUAGGAGAUUAGUAACACACAUCACUCUCCCGGCAAGAAGCAGCUCUCCCGGCAGUAACACGCAUCACUCUCUCGGCAGAAGGUGACUCUUCUUCAGAUUGUUGACCAUAUUCAUUAUUCACAAUAACGAAGUACAACUCCAAAUCAGAAAGGUCGUCGAUAAUGCUGAGCAUGGAAAGGUUUCUGUAGUUACCAUUAAUGUAAUCAAUGAGUACCAACUAUUGCUUGAUGCAUAUAUAAACAAUCAGAAGGUUGUCUACCUAGAUUUCUUCCUACCCAACUUUCCUUUAUCAGCAAGGAGGAACUGUUUUUUUCAUAUAUAAACAAUAAGCAGGUGACCUAAUGGACUAUGCAACCCAUAGAUUAAUUAUGCAAGAAGUUACCAUUCCUAUAAUUAGCAAGCAUCAAUCAUUGUUUGGUGCAUCUACAAACAAUGAGGAGGCGGUCUAAUUCUGGAGCACAUAGAUUAAUUAUCUGUGUAGUCAGACUUCCUCUGUUAGGAAGCAGCAACUACUACCCGCCGCACAUAUUUCUCCCAAAUCACUAACCUGAACAGGUAUUACAGUACACUGAAAAUUGGGCACACCCUACAGACAUGGAUAUGAACCAAAAUGCAUAUAUCUCUCCCAAAGCACUAAACAGGAAGCAAACCACCAGGGAAACCAUAAGUACAUAUGGCCAGCCAUAUCUUAUGAAGGUAUCCUAUGCUACAAAGACACAAUACCCAAAAAGACAUUUGGAUUGCAGUGCAGCCUCACAAUUGAAGCCGAAAACAUCAAAGAUUAAGCAUGUCAAGAGUGCACAUUUUUAUCGGAUAGAAUCUCACUUGAAGGCGUGACAACAUGUUUCCUUGCACAACAUAGGUCAAUCCACAACCAAAAUGAACCAAAUGUUCACAAUAUCCUUUCUUGUAUGCAUCAAGCAGAAUUCAAAAUCUCAUGGAGGUUCUGUACCAUUUGCCUUUGGCCACCACCUGGACAGUACACAACCAAAUUUAGCUGAAGUUUAUAAUAAACAUGCAUGCAACGAUAGCAGCCUAUAUUAAUUUUAUACCUGGCUUACAGGAAACCAGAAGCUAUGUACUGGCAAUUAACCAGAAAAGGAGGAGAAAUUCAGAAAAAUCUAGUAUGUAACCUAGUUUAACAAUGCUUAUAUCCCCAAUCCAAGCUCUACAUAUUUCAGCUCACUAAUGCUUACAAAAAAUAAAAAAUAGUACCCUCAUUUUGGAACUUGAAUCUGCAAACAUGGUGUCUAACUAAAAAUCAGAGUCAUGGUUAAGAUAAAGGAGCACCUCUGGAACGAGAGCGGUGGCUAAAAGCAUCAGACCACCAAAACAUCCCAUAGCACACAGUCCAACAGCGAACCAUCUCCUGAACCUAAUUAAGUAAUGUAUAUAUGAAUCUAAACUACAUGACAUAAGCUGAAGAACAACACGAGCAUGCAGAUCCAACUCUGUGAAUUUGCAAACAAAAGGCCCAAAAAAUUCACCUCCAGAUGAGGUCUCCGAGAAGCAUAAAGUCGCCAUCCUUGUCUCCGUUCCGCUCACCGCCACGAGACUCAUCUCCUCGUACCCACCCUGCAUCCAAGAGCCAAAUCGUCAGAAACCCACCAGAAGAACAACACAUAACAUGCUCGUCUCUGCUGCUAUUGAGUACAUGAACAGGAUAUGUUCUUGGCUGCAAACUAUUAACUUUUUAGGAAUUUUAAGCAACAUUAUAGAAGCUGAAAUACAACCAGAUCUAUUUUAACAAUAGGUUUAUGAGAUUAUGGUGUGCCUUUUCUUAUCUAUCUGUCACAAUAUAUUAUAUAAUGGGUACAUGCUAUCUGGAACAUGAAAGACAAGGGAAAAUUAAAAGGGUCAACUGUUAUACAAUACAUAUGUACCCAGAGCCAUUAACUUAAAAGGGUCAAUAUAUUUUCUACACUAUGCUUUGUGAAAUUAACUCUUUUAUGUACCUCCCUCACAAACAUUCACGGUUACCAAAUCUAGAUGAUUUUUAUUUGAACUUUUAGAACUGAAUACCAAGAGCAUACAUGCCUCUUACUUUGCAACCUUAGCCAAACAUAGUGGAGAGAAUACGAGGAGUGCUGUAUAGGAAAAAAAUUAAGUUAAUAGCUGUCCCUGCAGUUUCCAUCAGAUUAACAUUAAAACUCAUCAAAAAGUAAGGAAUAGCGAGCCAAAUGUGAAUUGUAUUACAACACAAGGUUUUAAAUUGUGCGGUCCGAUAAAAAUGAAGUUAAAUGAUGUGUGCCCUAUGGUAUGCAGACUGUUUCAUCCUUAGAAAUUGUAAUGCAAAAUCAGGCUGUCUGCUAGCAUAAAGGUGGCUUUUAAAUAUUAGAAUGCCACUUCAAAGUUGAAGUAAGUAUGAACCCACAGAAAAUCACCACUACCCAACCAUAAACAGAGAGGAAGUAAUAUGAGCUGAGAUCUUCGAUGGCAUAAAAAAAUUUAGAGCAUAUUUGACAUAUCAUUUUGAAGUUAAAAAUAGCAAAUAAGCUACAGCCAAGAAAGAACACAUUAAGUAGCUAGAGAGUAUACACUACUUUCUAAUAGGAAAGAAGGUAAUUUACCCGGCAAGGUAUUGUCACUGAUUCCAACAUGAAAGAACAAAGAAACCUGGGAUAAUCCCAACCACAUCUGUCCAUACAAAAAACACAAGUCAAUACACCAAAGGCAUGCCCAAUACAAAAGGAGCAACACGAUAGGCAUCAUAAAAAGUACCUGUGAAACGCUCAGGCGUGUUUGUAGGCCUUGGGAGCUGAUUAAUUGGAGUCAGGACAUAGGUGCAGAAAGGAAAUUCUGCUUCUAGACCCUCCCAUCACGCAACAGUUGUAUACCUAGUGAACUUAAUCAUGUAUUGACUCUCCACCAGCCCGAAGACAUACUUCUUGAGAAAGACCAGAAACUUGCGACAGAUCAUCAACCCACACUCUUGGGGGACACAUAUAAAUUGGUUAACAAAUUUCUCAGGCAUCUCUGCAUACAUAUGGUUACCCUGCGAGGAAAAGAGUAUGGUUCAACACAGGAGAAAUAACAGACCAUUAAAUAACAGGACAAGAAAGACAGGAAACCAGAUCAAAGAAUACAUGUACCUGCAUCUAGUAUAACCACAUCCAUCUCCUUGAUAGGUCCAUUUUCGGUUCCACCAUGGUGAUGCCACAGACGUGAUAUGCACACACAGGGUAUGCUAGAGCGAGUUACACGGACGCACUUCAGACAGUGCAUUGAAUGUUAUCUACAACAAAUAGAAAAUGCAAAAAAAUGCAAAGACUAAUCAGAGCAGGCCAUGGUCUAGCAAUCAUGAUAAGCACAUAACAUAUUGUACAGACCCAAAUAUAAUCAAAGGCAGCAUGCCAACACACACAUCAAAGAAAGACACACCACAUGUAAUCGCGACAAUAAAGGUAAAUAGUGAUCCUACCUCCUAAGUAGGAUCAAUUAGUUCAUCACAUCAUUAUACCAAGAGCACACACACACUGGCAAAUCAUCUAAAAGGCUGAUCCAACAAAAGAGGGUACACAGUGCAGAAGAACGAGGCCAGCAAAAGAGGGUCCUUGCACAAUAAAUAGCAAUAGAACCGACCAACAAUCCUGGAAAUAAGAGUAAGUACUAAAUUUGCAGGCAAUGAAAUAGUCACAUUUGUAACGAUUGUCCAUAGAUUUGUCUUAAUUGAUCAUAAUCCAUUGCACUCCUGACACUAAACAAAUUCGUAACCGCUCUUUUCCGAGAUAUGAUGUUGUGAAUAUAAUUAACCUUCAUAAGAAAGAAAUAAUUUCUAGCCUAAAAAUAGCUCACGGCCAACACUGUCCAUCACCACUGUUAACCUUCAAGAAUAACAGGACAAUAUAAUUAAUCCUUGAGGCAAAGAACGAAAUCAGAGACUAACCCAGACCAACAAUUAAUCUUAAUUAUACUAACCAGCCAUGCAAUCAAUCCUUAAGCUAAAGAACUAAAUCAGAGACCAACCCAGGCCAACAAUCAACCCUCAAGCCAAACACUCGAACCAAGAAAUUUGGGACACAUUUUAGCCUUACAUAAUUCAGCGUGCAGUGAAUCCUAAAGACAAAGAACCAAAUCAGAGACUAACCCAGUGCUCUUUUUCUAAUCAACCAUGUGACCUAUCCAUUCCUGUGAUUACAUUGCUAAGCAAGGACCAAAUUAAUCUAGCACUUGAGGACAAUACUCUAAUACAAACAACUGCACCCACAACAGGCAUAGACCACCCAUGUUCUUAACCAACCAUGCAACCUCACUGACCGCCAAGGCAAACAAUUAAGAAAGGACCAAUGAAAACAAAUCAACAAUGACACCAUCUAAGAAUCCAACAACAGAAGCCCACGAAUAACCUGUUCCCCACCUCUCUUUUGCAAGGCCUAAUCGAUUACAGACAAAUCCAGCCCCUGAAAAUAGUACAUUGAUUCCAAGAACGUCAGAACCACACCUACAGCAACACAGAUUGUCUUAUAUUUUCCCAACCAACUUGUCAGAUGUCCAACCCCGAAGAUAAACGGACAAGGAAGAGCUUGGGUUAACCAAUCCAUUCAGGCAGACAAUUUCCAAGAACAGAGCCCAUGCACAAUCCAUCUCAUCACCUUCACCUAACAAGCUCCAAUCAAGCACCUAAGAAUGGCUCCUAAACCCACUGAACAGCAACCACGAAAGGUACAAUCCGUUAAAUUAACCAGGCAUGUGAUUCAUGCAACUAAUCCUUAAGAAAAAGAACUAAAGCAGGUACUAACCCGAAUGGCAACAAAUCUGCGUCAUAUUCUAACCUAAUGUAAUCCAACAAUUAAUCAUCAAGAGAAACACCUAAAUCUGGGACUAACCCCGAAUGGCAACAAAUCUGCGUCAUAUUGUAACAUAAUGUAAUCCAACAAUUAAUCAUCAAGAGAAACACCUAAAUCUGGGACUAACCCAAACCAAUAGUCAGACCAGUGAAAUAUCUUAAACCAACAGAAUCCAACUACGACCCAAGCAGAUCCCCUAAUUUCACAAAAGGAAACAGACCAUAUCCAGGCUCGAAUAGCUAAUGCAUCCAAAAAAAUUGCCGCAUCCGACCAGCCAACACGUCCAAAAAACUAUUGGAGUCCCACAUAAGCACCAGACAAGAGUGGAAAGGAGGAGAAAAGGGGUUGACUUGCAGAACUAAUUCACCCCCUGUCGCUGCCAUCAUUGGUGAUGGCCGCUGCUGUCGUCCGAGGCUAGGGUUCGCUGCUGGACGCGUGCGUGCAC
rnacentral:lncRNA from 1 species